AAUCAUCAACCUACAAGCCUUUGCGGUUUUGUAGGCUUGGACUUGGAGGCUUGUCGGCCGUUCUUGGUCGGCUCCUCUUAAAUGCAUUAGCUUGGUUCCUUGCGGAUCGGCUCUCGGUGUGAUAAUGUCUACGCCGCGACCGUGAAGCGUUUGGCAAGCUUCUAACAGUCUCAGUUGGAGACAGCUUUAUGACCUCUGACCUCAAAUCAG
rnacentral:rRNA from 1 species